rnacentral:rRNA from 1 species
GAUGAACGCUGGCGGCGUGCCUAAUACAUGCAAGUCGAGCGAACAGACGAGGAGCUUGCUCCUCUGACGUUAGCGGCGGACGGGUGAGUAACACGUGGAUAACCUACCUAUAAGACUGGGAUAACUUCGGGAAACCGGAGCUAAUACCGGAUAAUAUAUUGAACCGCAUGGUUCAAUAGUGAAAGACGGUUUUGCUGUCACUUAUAGAUGGAUCCGCGCCGCAUUAGCUAGUUGGUAAGGUAACGGCUUACCAAGGCAACGAUGCGUAGCCGACCUGAGAGGGUGAACGGCCACAGUGGAUCUGAGACACGGCCCAGACUCCUAAGGGAGGCAGCAGUAGGGACUCUUCCGCAAGGGGGGAAAGCUGGACGGAGCAACGCCGCGUGAGUGAUGAAGGUCUUCGGAUCGUAAAACUCUGUUAUUAGGGAAGAACAAAUGUGUAAGUAACUAUGCACGUCUUGACGGUACCUAAUCAGAAAGCCACGGCUAACUACGUG